GGAGGGUGCAAGCGUUAUCCGGAUUCACUGGGUUUAAAGGGUGCGUAGGUGGGUUGGUAAGUCAGUGGUGAAAUCUCCAAGCUUAACUUGGAAACUGCCAUUGAUACUAUCAGUCUUGAAUAUUGUGGAGGUUAGCGGAAUAUGUCAUGUAGCGGUGAAAUGCUUAGAUAUGACAUAGAACACCAAUUGCGAAGGCAGCUGGCUACACAUAUAUUGACACUGAGGCACGAAAGCGUGGGGAUCAAACAGGAUUAGAUACCCUGGUAGUCCACGCCCUAAACUAUGGAUACUCGACAUACGCGAUACACUGUGUGUGUCUGAGCGAAAGCAUUAAGUAUCCCACCUGGGAAGUACGAUCGCGAGAUUG
rnacentral:rRNA from 1 species